AGUGAACCCUGGCGGUAGGCCUAACACAUGCAAGUCGAACGGCAGCACAGGAGAGCUUGCUCUCUGGGUGGCGAGUGGCGGACGGGUGAGGAAUACAUCGGAAUCUACUUUUUCGUGGGGGAUAACGUAGGGAAACUUACGCUAAUACCGCCUACGACCUACGGGUGAAAGCAGGGGACCUUCGGGCCUUGCGCGAUUGAAUGAGCCGAUGUCGGAUUAGCUAGUUGGCGGGGUAAAGGCCCACCAAGGCGACGAUCCGUAGCUGGUCUGAGAGGAUGAUCAGCCACACUGGAACUGAGACACGGUCCAGACUCCUACGGGAGGCAGCAGUGGGGAAUAUUGGACAAUGGGCGCAAGCCUGAUCCAGCCAUACCGCGUGGGUGAAGAAGGCCUUCGGGUUGUAAAGCCCUUUUGUUGGGAAAGAAAUCCAGCUGGCUAAUACCCGGUUGGGAUGACGGUACCCAAAGAAUAAGCACCGGCUAACUUCGUGCCAGCCGCCGCGGUAA
rnacentral:rRNA from 1 species